CGAACGGGUGAGUAACGCGUGGGUAACCUGCCUUAUAGCGGGGGAUAACUAUUGGAAACGAUAGCUAAUACCGCAUAACAAUAGAGAUUGCAUAAUCUUUAUUUGAAAGUGCCAACUGGUACACUAUGGGAUGGACCCGCGUUGUAUUAGCUAGUUGGUAGUGUAAUGGACUACCAAGGCGAUGAUACAUAGCCGACCUGAGAGGGUGAUCGGCCACAUUGGGACUGAGACACGGCCCAAGCUCCUACGGGAGGCAGCAGUAGGGAAUCUUCGGCAAUGGACGAAAGUCUGACCGAGCAACGCCGCGUGAGUGAAGAAGGUUUUCGGAUCGUAAAACCCUGUUGUUAGAGAAGAAUGUUGAUUAGAGUGGAAAAUUAAUCAAGUGACGGUAUCUAACCAGAAAGGGACGGCUAACUACGUGCCAGCAGCCGCGGUAAUACGUAGGUCCCGAGCGUUGUCCGGAUUUAUUGGGCGUAAAGCGAGCGCAGGUGGUUUAAUAAGUCUGAUGUAAAAGGCAGUGGCUCAACCAUUGUGUGCAUUGGAAACUGUUAGACUUGAGUGCAGUAGAGGAGAGUGGAAUUCCAUGUGUAGCGGUGAAAUGCGUAGAUAUAUGGAGGAACACCGGUGGCGAAAGCGGCUCUCUGGACUGUCACUGACACUGAGGCUCGAAAGCGUGGGUAGCAAACAGGAUUAGAUACCCUGGUAGUCCACGCCGUAAACGAUGAGUGCUAGUUGUUUGGGGCUAUCCAGCCCUAAGUGACGCAGCAAACGCAUUAAGCACUCCGCCUGGGGAGUACGACCGCAAGGUUGAAACUCAAAGGAAUUGACGGGGGCCCGCACAAGCGGUGGAGCAUGUGGUUUAAUUCGAAGCAACGCGAAGAACCUUACCAGGUCUUGACAUACUCGUGC
rnacentral:rRNA from 1 species